rnacentral:lncRNA from 1 species
UGAAGAUCAUUUCAUCCCGGCACGCUAGUAGCUCCAUGAAGAAUGGGUAAGGGAAUGCCACAUACAUAUUGCAAUGUGCCAAACCAAAUACUCAACAACAAUUGCUAGAGUAUUACUUGAUCUUAUUGCACAACUGUAUUUCCACACACAUAUCAGGAAUUAUUUUUAUUUCUUGGGAAAAGUAAUAUGCAUGAAAGCCAAUUUGACUAGGCUGGAAAAUUAAGGCGCAAGUAAAUAAGGAGGGGUCAUCGGUCGUAGCAUGUCUUCUGAAGACGAGGAUUCUUUACACUCUCUCUCACACCCAUCCAUAGUCGGAUAACAUAACGAAUCUACCAAACAACAGUUGCAAUAUCCACGAGUGCUACAACGAGACAGAUUCACAUGAACGCAUAGCCCGUGUGGUAAACUAAUCUUCUCGAUAUCCACGUCAGACAUGAUUCGGCCUAUGAAAUAACAAACAAACACUUAAUUGUUUUGCCACUAUAUGAAUUAGGGUAGAAUAAAUUAACGCACAAGAGAUUAAACAAGAAAAGUAAAAGAAAAGGCUUCCUUCACUAGCUAUACUACAUAUAGAAUUCCAAGAGCAGUGAAAAAAAUAAACUCGAUUAGUGUGCUUGCAUUGAGCAACAGUAGCAUGGCAUACGAGAUGUAGAGAUAUAGUAAGGCUAGCUAGUGCAAGGAACCGAAUUGUGUACUUGUCCAUACUCCACAUGAUCCAACACUAGUUUGUUGAUCGCUUUGGAAGUUGAUGCGAAAUAUUUGCCAACAACACAUGACAUCC